rnacentral:tmRNA from 1 species
UAUCUUGAAAAAUAAACCUAUAUGCCCUAUAAUGAGUGGUAUCAGGCAAUUUUGCCUGAUUAUGGCGCUAAACGCGGUUGCGGAAUAAGCGUUGUGGACCCGGGGGCGGUACCCGGCGGCUCCACCAAAACAGCCCAAGGCAUAUAAUAUAUGCAGGCUGCUUUAUGGGGCCGAAAUAGCUUCGACACACGUGAUAAAGGUGAUUUUGCGGCGCUCGGAAUUGUUCCGCCGUAAUGGACAAUUAUUAUAAAUGCAAACGAUAACUUUGUAUCUCGUGUUGCUGCUAACGACAAUGGCGCAUUCGCCGUUGCUGCUUAAGCACAAUACAACUGAAUUCCUAGCCCUUAAUACAGGUUAGGUGGGGUCGGGCCGCACCUCGCAACAGAAGCGGCCCUUU